rnacentral:lncRNA from 1 species
GAGCUUUUGACUAUAAAAGUUCAAUUUUAGUAAAUGUUGAAGAAAGGCUGCUGUCUGUUCUUACUCAAUACUUUUAGGUAAGUUUAUAUCUGUUGUAAAUAAAAAUUGCAUGAUAUAAUGAUAUGUGAUGUUGGUAUAAACUAUUUAAAACUGAUCACAUUUCUGAUGUUGAAAGGGUGGCAGGGAGUUGUGUCCUUGCUUUGUAUCUAUUGCUUUCUCUUUUGACUUGAAGCAAAUAUCGUGAACAUAAUUAUGAAAAUUUAUAAAACUGAUGGAAGCUCUGAUAAAAUGCCCAACUAUGGAUUGUAGAAAAUCUUUAUGCUAUUCACAUAAUAUUGACCGUACAUGAAGGGUUUUCUUUGGUUUGGUGAUGGUAGUCCUUAUUUGCUUAUUAUAUGAUAUCAUAUCAUUAAAAAAAUUGCCAUGUGAAUUGAUCACAAACAGGAUUGCAUCAAGGCUGUGCCUUAAGAUUAAGAUCCAUUACUGAAAGUUGGAUUUCGUUUGACGCUCAUAGGAGGAUGCAAUAUUUAAACUGAUAUUGAGGUGUCCACCUUUUCUGCAUCUAUUCCAAAGAAAUUGACUGAAUUAUAAACAAGUUCUUUGGGUCAUAUUGACUGAUAUUUUUAACAUACCACAAAUGUCAAUUGCUGACUUUAGUUAUUAUUAUAAGAGUUAUUACUUGCAUGACAUUGGAUUUAACAUACCAUAAGGCAUUAAAAAACAUCAACUCUUACAUAAUAUGAAGAAAAUAUUAUGAUGUAUUGUGUAUGGGUAAGAAAAAGCGAGCUACUAAAAAAAGGAAAUGCAUUUUUCAUUGCAACCUAAACAAAUUUUGUUAUUUGCAAAGUAUUGCCUAUUUGUUUAGAAGCAUAUAGUUUUUUAACAGGAAUUAGAAAGAGCACAUACCCAAAUCUAUUAAAAUGAUUAAUAUGGUGUAUAUUCAGUGAAAGGGCCAUUAGCUGUCCUAUUUAUAUUCAUCUCUUAUUUAACUCUAAUUCUCCAAUUUGAUUUAUUACAUACCAUAAACAUAUGCAAAUCACAAAUAAUCCAAAUGAACAAUAGCUAACUUUCGAGUUCGAUGCAUUUCCGUUAAAAACUCUGGUUUUAGUGAACAUCAUUCCAGUUUAGGGGCAUCGUCAUUUCCUUUCCAAUAUUGAGCAAUCGGUUGAAAAACUAUGAUGAUAUAUUGCAAGAAUUAUUUGGCAAAUUGAAUUCUCAUAAUUGACAAUCAGCACUGCUGUAUUUGAGGAAUUUUGAUUAAGUACCUACAGAACAAACAUUAUUUCUAGUUUAUCCUACACAACAACAAUCACUAAGACGCAUGAUGAACGUGAAUAGUGCAGGGAUAUAUGAAAUCCCCUCUAUCUGGUAAAUGACAUCAUAAAGGCGUGCAUAAUUGAGGAGUUUUGUCCUGUGACGGAUGAACUCGAAAGUGGUCUAUAAACAAUGCAUGGACUUAAAAUGAUAAUGUAUCAGCAUUUGGUGUAUAUUUGAAACUAGGUACCAUCCAAAUAACCAUAAAGACGGUAUAUGAAGAAUGCUGAUAGAUUUUUCUUGGUCUGUUUGACUGUCAUGGAUUAAAAAACGAUUCAUAAACUACCUUUUUGCCUGUACAAGAAUGAUUUUUUUAGGGGUAGAAUUGGUCAUACAAAUUUUUUUCCUUAUUGACUCCUUUGUUUCACUUUCAAUAGUGUCCUUUAUUUUUAACUUUAAGCAUUUUUAGCACAUGGGUAACCCAUUUCAAUCUUAGGGUUAAAUUGAAGGCAAGGUCACAUAAAUGUACAUGAAUGUUGACGUUGAAAUAUUGGGCUUAUUUGACAAAACUGAAUCUAAGUCAACUCUAAUGCCUCUUUGAUGAGACACUUUUUAUGAAGAAAAGGAAUUAUACAUAGAUUGAUAUAAGUAAACUUGUUUGUAGAAAAAUCUGCAAUGUUUUGAAAAUUACACCAUAAAACUACAUUGAACAGAUGAGAGGGUGUAGCAAGAAAAGUAUUUACUACACAUGAAAGCGAUGUACAUGUCAAAUUAAGUGACAAAGUUUGUAUAACCAAAAGGGGCAGUAAUUUAAAAUUCAUAGAUAAAAAUUUAUUUUCAAUGGAAGAUGAAAUAAAAUCUGGAAGAGAGAAAUAAAAACAGAAUAAUUCUUAUCAAGCCUGCUGACGGCAACACAUUUAUAAGUUGUUUAUUUUUCAAUCAUAAAGUUCGGUGUGUGCCUUAGAUUUUUUAACAAACAAUCAUGGAAUUUUAACCUUUUUUUUUAUCAUGAGCACCGUAUGACUAUCCACAGCCAUUUUUUUCAUAUAUUACUGAUAAAUGUUUUUUUUUUUUUUUGGAUCAGCCUUUUUUUUUAUUAGAAAGCUUGGGACUUUAAUAUUUUUCUUGACUUGUGAAGAUGAUGUUUCCUUAUGAAGUCAAUAGCUAUAAAAGUGAUUCAGAUUCCAUAGAACCUUUAGUAUUUGGUACACUGUAUGUACCUUAGUUUCUAUAAAUAUCUUGCAACCCUCUCUAGGUCAACAUCUUUAAUAGGACUUUGGAAUUUAUACUCCAACAUAUAUACUUUGACAUAUUAUUUCUUUAUUAACAGUUUUAUUAAAAUAUUUAUUUACAAAGAGGUCCAAUAUGAGUGAAUCAAGGUUCCUUAGCAGGGUUCAUGCUUGCUGGAUUGUUGUUGACUUUAUAGUGAAAAAAUGAAAUUAAACCUGAGAUGGUGAGGAGUGGUAUAUUUUCCAUUUUAAGAUGGAAAUUUCUCUUUUGUAGAUCUAUCGAUUUGGAUCAGCUAGUCUUAAAUUUUAAACAUGAAUACAUAGACACAAAUUCAGUCUUGCAAAUAGUUUCUAGAAGUUAUGAAAUAAGGUUGAUUAGUAAAGACAAAACAUGACUAUUUUGAUGAUUUUGUUUAAAGCAUUUGACACUGUUAUAUUUUGGGCAUUUAUUGAUAUUUUAGACAUUUAUUUUAUAGGUCAGAAGCACUGGAUGAUAUAAGUUGAUGUCACCUUGACUAGAUUAUGCUCCAAUUGAUGGAAUUUGUUUAAGUAUCUGACCCUGAAGUUGAUCUGGACAGAUUGAAGGUAAUUUCAUAUUGAUAAUAAAAAAAUGAUUUGUUUAAUUUGGAAAUAAUAUAUUAUUUGAAAUAAGAAGAUAUGGUAUGAUUGCAAAUGAGAAAGUUAUUGAUCAGAGACCAAAUGACUUGGAUGUAUUAAAACAACUAUAGAUCACAGUAUGGCAUUGGACAAAGAGCAAAACCCAUACCUGAUAGUAAGCUAUAAAAAGACAUGACAUGACCAGAUAUAUAUGUUAAUGUAUAAAGAAAACCAGCAGCCUGGUAUAUGACUCAAACCAAAAAACUAAAAACAAAUAUGAUGCACCCUAAACAGUUACAACAACUGAAAAUGUAAGUUCUGGGGUAGAGUUAUAUUUUUUGCAAUCACUAGGACAUUUUUCUAAAAUGGAAAUCAAGGUCAAGAUUGUUGAUACCGGGUGUCUUUUUGAUAAUUUUAUUCAUCAGAUUUUUGUAGUUAAAAUCGAUUAAGGAUUUGGAUGUACAGCAGAUUGGUGGGUGGGCGGUCAGCUGCCAAACAGUUUCCCCAAUAACAUGAGAACCACCAGUUACUAUGGUUACUGUAUCUAUAUAAAUAGGGUUCAAACAUUAAUCCACCAUUCUCCCUAUGAUGAAGGUAUCUGUUGUACUGAAAUCGGUCAGGCUAGGAAACAUCAGCAGGAGCUGUUUAUUAUGUGUAUUGGCAUAUGCUAUAUUGUUUGACUAAAGAAUAUUACUAAUCAACUUUUUGUACAGCAAAGUUUUUAAAGUAAUUUAUUUGAUAAUUAUCAUUAUGUAUUUAUUUCAGGUUCUGAAUUUGUGUUCAGCUUAAGAAGCCGGUGGAUAAGAAAAAGAUGCUUUUUAACUGCAAUGUUCAAGAAAAGUAAACCAUUGUUUGAAGAGGUAAGUUAUCUUCUCUAUGGUAAGGUUGUCUCUGACACAUUCUUCAUUUUCAUUCUCAAUUAUAUUAGAUCAUUCAAUGUUCCAUUAAAAUUUGAAAAAUAAUCAACAAAGAAGACUCUUUACGUCUGUGCCAUUUUAUUAGAUCAAUUUCACUGUGUUGGAAAGUGUUUACCAUUUGACAAGUUUUGUAGUAGGUUGUUAAUUUGUAAAUAUUGUGAGUUUAUCAAUAAGAAAUUCAAAGUUUUUGUUGUUUAAGCAAAAGUAUACAAGGCUUUACCAGAACAUAACUAACUUGACCAAGAAAACAUUUGCAUAUAGAUUUCUGAGAAUGGUUUGGUUUAGUACAUAUUUUGUAAGAAAGAGCAGUGGAUCUAAAAUUGCUUAUGAAAUGAGGAGAAUUGCUAAUUAAACAAGUGUCCACUUGUAACCAAAUGACAUGGAUGUAAGCAACUAUAGGUCAUUAUACAGUCUUCUACAAUGAGAUUUCCAGAAAAAAACAUACUGAAUAGUAAGCUGUUAAAGGCCCCUUCAUGAUAAAAUGGGGAAAAAAAUCAAACUAAGAAAUCAACAACCUGAUCAAUGAUGAAACAAUUACGACAAACAACUACCACUGAAAACUUUCCAGAGGGAAAAGAUCAUGUAUUACUUAUGUUACUACACUAUUCAGAUAACCAGAAAUCCUGGAUUUUAGUCCUGGCAGGAUAAAGUACUGUAUAUUCAGAAAUUAUUGCGUGCAUUAAUUAUUGCGAUUUUUUCAUUUAAGACUGAAAUGCGGUUUUAAUGCGAUAUUGUUAAAAAUCUUGUUUAAUUCAUAUAAAGAAUUAUUGCAAUUAUAGCCCUGUCGCAUUUUUCAUAAUAAUAAAAACAUCUCAAUCAUUUCUGAAUUUACAGUAACUAAAAUCAUGUAUAAGCACAACAUAGGGCUUUAUAUAAAGUUUUUAAUAUAAAAAUCACUAAAUUUUACACUUUUUUUUAAUAACAUUCAUUGCAUUAUCAUUUUUUCUUGCAGAAACAUACACUGGAUGGAGAUUAGAGUUUUAUUAAUCAUGGAGAAUGGAAGAUUCUUGGCAUGUUACAAUGACAGUUAUGACUAUUUGAGAAAGAAACAGAAAUUAAAUGAUCAGAAA